GACGAACGCUGGCGGCGUGCUUAACACAUGCAAGUCGAACGAAGUGGCGAACGGGUGAGUAAUACGUGAGUAACUGCCCUCCUUUUUGGGAUAAGCCUUGGAAACGGCUGCUCAUACCGGAUAGUGGGGGAUGCCUCGCGUCCUAUCAGCUUGUUGGUGUGGUAGUGGCCUACCAAGGCGACGACGGUUAGCCGGCCUGCGAGGGCGACCGGCCACAGAGGGCUGAGAGACGACCAAAAGUGCUACGGGGGGCAGCAGGGGGAAAUAUUGCGCAAUGGGGGAAACGCGGGUGCAGCAAUCCGGGUGCGGGAGGACGGUCUUCGGGGUGUAAACCGCUUUCAGCCAGGACGCGGUAGUGGCAGAAGAAGCACUGGCUAACUACGUGCCAGCAGCCGCGGUAAUAC
rnacentral:rRNA from 1 species